rnacentral:lncRNA from 1 species
UCAAACUUACACAUAAAACAAUCAACAUACCAACCACAAAAAGACACAAAUAAACACACAAAAAGCGUGAACCACACGAAACCACCUCAUAAUUCCAUCUCUUCACAAAAACAAUUCUAUAUUUUCCUCUCUCAAUACUCCUCCAUUUCACACACUCUCACCCUUCUCCAAAUUAAUAUCUUAAAAUUAUUAUUCUUCACUCAUCUAACAAACUC